GUAGCGAAAUUCCUUGUCGGGUAAGUUCCGACCUGCACGAAUGGCGUAACGACUUGGGCGCUGUCUCCUCCGCGAGCUCGGCGAAAUUGGAGUAUCGGUGAGGAUACCGAUUACCCGCGACAGGACAAAAAGACCCCGUGCACCUUUACUGCAAUCUGUCAUUGGGUCUUGGCUUUGCAUGUGUAGGAUAGGUGGGAGACCGUGAACCGUUCUCGCCAGGGGACGGGGAGUCGUUGGUGAAAUACCACCCUUACAAUGUUGAGGCUCUAACCCAGGGGAGUGAAUCCUCCUCGGGAACAGUGGCAGGUGGGUAGUUUGACUGGGGCGGUCGCCUCCCAAACAGUAACGGAGGCGCGCAAAGGUUCCCUCAGCGCGGUCGGCAAUCGCGCGAAGAGUGCAAAGGCAUAAGGGAGCUUGACUGCGAGACCGACGGGUCGAGCAGGAACGAAAGUUGGCCUUAGUGAUCCGGCGGUUCCGAAUGGAAGGGCCGUCGCUCAACGGAUAAAAGGUACGCCGGGGAUAACAGGCUUAUCGCCCCCGAGAGUUCACAUCGACGGGGCGGUUUGGCACCUCGAUGUCGGCUUAUCGCAUCCUGGGGCUGAAGAAGGUCCCAAGGGUCGGGCUGUUCGCCCGUUAAAGCGGUACAUGAGCUGGGUUUAGAACGUCGUGAGACAGUUCGGUCUGUAUCCGUCGUGGGCGUUGGAGUAUUGAGGGGAGCUGCUCCUAGUACGAGAGGACCGGAGUGGACUGACCACUCGUGUACCGGCUGUUCCGCCAGGGGCAUCGCCGGGUAGCGACGUCGGGAAGGGAUAACCGCUGAAAGCAUCUAAGUGGGAAGCCCCCCCCAAGAUGAGUACUCCCAGGACCCUUCGGGGUCCGCGAAGGGCCGUGCGAGACUAGCACGUUGAUAGGCGGCAAGUGGAAGCGUGGUGACACGUGUAGCUGAGCCGUACUAAUGGCCCGACAGGCUUGACCA
rnacentral:rRNA from 1 species